GAAAUGCGAUACGUAAUGUGAAUUGCAGGAUUCAGUGAAUCAUCAAAAUCUUGAACGCACAUGGCGCCCUCGAGUUUCCGGAUUCUGGGGCAUAUCUGUUUGAGUGUCACUUACCCCUCUCACAAAAACAAAUUCAUUCACUUGAAUCUGUUUUUAGUGGACGUUGACUGUUGUGUGCAGCCCGUGUGGCAGCAUACAUCGGUUUAAAAGCAGCGGUGAGAAGUUGCUCGACAACUCCUCGAACAAUGGCUGGGUAAGUUCUUAAUUGAACAAACUAAGCUUUUGGUCUUGGGCUCAAGUAGUCAGCAGCGCUUGCCUGCGCAGGAUUGAAUGAGAGUUUGACGGCUUCACGGCUGGAGAACAAUCGUUUCAAUACAAAACCCUUUGACCUCAAAUCAGG
rnacentral:misc_RNA from 1 species